UCUCGAUGCUUUCACCUCCUCUGCCAAAUUGUUUCUGCAUCAAGAGAGAGGAGCAAAACCACUGUGGGGGGAAAACAGCAGUUAAGGCUCUUCGGUGAACAAGACUGCAGGCUUAGUCCCAAACGUGGGCAAUGGAGAUGGACUAAGAGAAGUGGAAGAAAGUGAUGUGGAGAGUCUGCAGUGGAGAAAGAGGUUCCUCUGGGGAGCAAUUUCAGACUGCUUACAUCCAGAUCUGCCAUGGAGCAGGGAAUUAGGAAAUCAGCCAGUCAAGGACGGCUUGGUUCUGACCUAACCCCUGAGAAUCAACCAGGUGGAGCCUGUGAUGGAUGUAUUCCUGCCCUUCUGCACCAGCUGAGCUCAUUUUGCUGUGCUGAAUUCAUGACAAGACAAGAAAGAUGACGUGAAACUAGUGAGGUCAAUAUGCCUUCUGCUGCAACUUCUGUUUGGGGUGCUGCAUGAAGAGGCUGAGCCUCCUGGACAGCACAGCUCCUGGGCUCCCACCCUCUCUGCACCUUCACAUCUGGUGUCACUCAGUGUGGAAAGGACUGGGCACUGCAUCACCACUUGCCUCAAGAGGGCUCCCAGCUUCCUUCCAGCAUCCUUGGAUGAGACAGAGACAGCAACCUGGCACAGAGAGAGGAUGAUCACAGCUGUAUGGCUGCUCAAGAAGCAUUGUUUUUCAAUGUGAAAGGUCAAGUGCUGAACUGCUAAACUCUUCUCUAUUCUUUGGGUCUACACAAAUGCUAGCCACAAGUGAGCAUCUUCUUCCAGGCGGUGCUCUGAUAGUACUAAUUUAACGUCAUGUCCUGACUGCAGUUGAGAAAGAGAAAAGGAAGAGUAAAAGCAAGAGAAACUUCUGAGUCAAGAAAGAAAUGUUUGGACAAAGAGAGAAAGAAAACAAAACAAGGAAACCUUUGAAGGAUGGAUGAACUGAAUGUGAGAGCAGGAGGAAGGAGGACAGCUGUCCCUUCUGCCACUGUGAAGCGGCUCUGGGGUGUAAAUGGAUCUGCUGACUGUGGAUGGAGGGUUGCUGUUUCAGGAGCAACUGCAAAUUCAGACACAUGAGAAUUGAUAAGCUGACACAAGCGGCCUUCCUCUGAAGAGCGGCCUUGCAGAAAGUCUGGGGAACCAGACAGAGGUUGAGAAGGCACCAAAGAGAGAUGGAUGCAAGGUGGCUGUGAGGCCUAUUGAUUCGAAAACCACCUUCCCCACAAAGCAGAGACGGAAAAGAAAAGCAGCAGAGAUUCAUCCAUCUGCUGCUAAGGACACAGAUGAGCCCCCAGCUAGAAAACUACCUAUGGUGAUUCUUGCUUCAGUCCCACCUGAAUACACCUUGGUCAGCACUGAAGUCAUAAAACUUCCAAGCAGUCUGGAACUGCUUCCAGGAACACAGGCAUACUCUGUGGCACAGUCAGAGGUCUCAAACUCAACAGCCCAUUCCUCACAAGAAGCAGAUAAGACGCAGCAGCUGAGCUGCACAGAGGCGGGGAAAGCACUCGUCUCUGAAGAUGAUGACCUUCAGAAGUUAUUGAUGGAAAUCACAGGAGAACUGGAAGGAGAAAAUGAUGUGGACGCUGAAAAGGGUGUGGAUGAGCUCCUUCUGGAACUGUCUGAGAUCACUGACAGCGUGAUACCACAGUCUGAUUGUAAUUUUUAAGACAAACAACAGCAACAACCAAUUAAAACCAACCCUGUUCCUUUUCAACCCUGUUCCUUUCCUUAUUCUGAGGGGACACUUUUUCUGAAACUUUGCAAUGAGUCUUAAAGCAGAGUCAAAC
rnacentral:lncRNA from 1 species